AGAACCUUUAAAAACAGUCCCGUGAGGCUGGCAAGGUUACGUUAAGAGGUCGAAUCCGGAUUUCGGUCGGAGUGCAUGCGUGCAGUCUAGCAGAAUCACUGAGGAUUCAUGGCUUUCUAUAGGUGUACGAACGUACAACCUCCUUGUCUACGGGCAUGGGGGUUUUUUUUGU
rfam:Paenibacillus swuensis strain DY6, complete genome.